GGGCGGUCUCCUCCCAAAGCGUAACGGAGGAGCACGAAGGUUAGCUAAUCCUGGUCGGACAUCAGGAGGUUAGUGCAAUGGCAUAAGCUAGCUUGACUGCGAGCGUGACGGCGCGAGCAGGUGCGAAAGCAGGUCAUAGUGAUCCGGUGGUUCUGAAUGGAAGGGCCAUCGCUCAACGGAUAAAAGGUACUCCGGGGAUAACAGGCUGAUACCGCCCAAGAGUUCAUAUCGACGGCGGUGUUUGGCACCUCGAUGUCGGCUCAUCACAUCCUGGGGCUGAAGUAGGUCCCAAGGGUAUGGCUGUUCGCCAUUUAAAGUGGUACGCGAGCUGGGUUUAGAACGUCGUGAGACAGUUCGGUCCCUAUCUGCCGUGGGCGCUGGAGAAUUGAGGGGGGCUGCUCCUAGUACGAGAGGACCGGAGUGGACGCAUCACUGGUGUUCGGGUUGUCAUGCCAAUGGCACUGCCCGGUAGCUAAAUGCGGAAGAGAUAAGUGCUGAAAGCAUCUAAGCACGAAACUUGCCCCGAGAUGAGUUCUCCCUGAGACUUUAAGUCUCCUGAAGGAACGUUGAAGACGACGACGUUGAUAGGCCGGGUGUGUAAGCGCAGCGAUGCGUUGAGCUAACCGGUACUAAUGAACCGUGAGGCUUAACCUU
rnacentral:rRNA from 1 species